AGAGUUUGAUCCUGGCUCAGAAUGAACGCUGGCGGCGUGGAUAAGACAUGCAAGUCGAACGAAAAGUGAUUUAGUUUACUAAUGAUCUUUUAGUGGCGGACGGGUUAGUAACGCGUGAGCAACCUACCUUAAAGAGGGGGAUAGUCCUGGGAAACUGGGUUUAAUACCGCAUAAGCUCUACGGAGUAAAGUGGCCUUCGGGUCACGCUUUAAGAUGGGCUCGCGUCCUAUCAGCUUGUUGGUGAGGUAAAGGCUCACCAAGGCGACGACGGGUAGUUGGUCUGAGAGGACGAUCAGCAACACUGGAACUGAGACACGGUCCAGACACCUACGGGUGGCAGCAGUCGAGAAUCAUUCACAAUGGACGAAAGUCUGAUGGUGCAACGCCGCGUGUGGGAUGAAGGCCUUAGGGUCGUAAACCACUGUCAUGUGAGAGUAAGACAUAUUAGUUAAUACCUGGUAUGUUUGAUAGUAUCACAAGAGGAAGGGACGGCUAACUUCGUGCCAGCAGCCGCGGUAAUACGAAGGUCCCGAGCGUUAUUCGGAAUCACUGGGCGUAAAGGGAGCGUAGGCGGCGCGGUAAGUCAGAUGUGAAAUCUCAGAGCUCAACUCUGAAACUGCAUCCGAUACUGCCGUGCUAGAGUAAUGGAGGGGUAACUGGAAUUCUCGGUGUAGCAGUGAAAUGCGUAGAUAUCGAGAG
rnacentral:rRNA from 1 species